rnacentral:piRNA from 1 species
UAACACGUUCUUUGUGACUCAUCCAUAGA